rnacentral:rRNA from 1 species
GAUGAACGCUGGCGGCGUGCCUAAUACAUGCAAGUCGAGCGAACAGAUGAGGAGCUUGCUCCUCUGACGUUAGCGGCGGACGGGUGAGUAACACGUGGAUAACCUACCUAUAAGACUGGGAUAACUUCGGGAAACCGGAGCUAAUACCGGAUAAUAUAUUGAACCGCAUGGUUCAAUAGUGAAAGACGGUUUUGCUGUCACUUAUAGAUGGAUCCGCGCCGCAUUAGCUAGUUGGUAAGGUAACGGCUUACCAAGGCAACGAUGCGUAGCCGACCUGAGAGGGUGAUCGGCCACACUGGAACUGAGACACGGUCCAGACUCCUACGGGAGGCAGCAGUGGGGAAUCUUCCGCAAUGGGCGAAAGCCUGACGGAGCAACGCCGCGUGAGUGAUGAAGUUCUUCGGAUCGUAAAACUCUGUUAUUAGGGAAGAACAAAUGUGUAAGUAACUAUGCACGUCUUGACGGUACCUAAUCAGAAAGCUACGGCUAACUACGUG